AGUGAUAAAAAUUUCUAUGAAUCUAAACCCUUUUCUAAACCAUGACCAUAGCUAGUUAUUGGGCCAAUGAGUUACUAUAAUUUUUCUCUAGCCCAUAAGAAUUCUUUGAAGUCCAUUUUAUACAUAUCCCAAAUCAGAUUUUUGUAGCCACAAAAUUAAAGGAAAAAGAAAAUAUAAACCCACCCAUCUUCCCCAAUCAACUACCUCAACGUAUGAUGUUUAUACACCAUAACUAUGGAAGAUUCUUUCAAUUUACCUCCCCAAAUGUUACCUCCCCUAGUCUAUUAAUAUAAUGGUAAAAAUAUUUUCUUACACUUGGAGUUCAUCCACUCCAUCACCACUAUCAUAUUCUUCUCAACCAUUAGAUGCACCACCCAAAUCAACCAAUCAACAUUGAAGCUUAAUUUGUUUUUUCACCAUUUUCACAAUAGAUCAAGAAACCAAGCUAAUUUUAUCUCAAUUUUAAUUGUAAGAAUACCCACAAAAUUUCAGCAAUUAAACCCAAUUAUAAAACCCCAAAACUUUUCCCUUUCUCUCUCCUCCGCGCCUCCUUGCAUUGGCCACGCACCACCACCACCGGGACUCGUACCCCAGUCGCCGCCCGCCCCUGGCCGACGCCGGCUGCCCAGCCACCGUCGGACCACCUCCUUGCACCCCUCUUUCCUCCUUUGUUCUUUUGUCCCCCUCCAAACCAAGACCAAAGUUUGGUCUUUGGUGUUUUGUAAAAACCAAAACUAAAAUCCUUAAAAUCCCACCAAUAUAAAUUCAUUCUAAUGAUAUUUGACCCAUUAAGAGGAAGUGUCAAUUUCGUUGUUAGAGGUUUCAUAUGAUUGUAUGAAAGAUUAAGGUAGUUUCUAUAACUAUUUGGACGCUUUCGGAGUGGUUUUGAAAGAAUUGGACAGUGAAAGGAUGAAAAGUCGAUGAAUCGAGGUCGCUCAAUGAAGGAUAUGUGUUUGUGGAAGCGUAGGUUGAGAUUUAUAUGAAUUAGUAAUGAAUAUAACAUCCACAAGGGUCAUAAUGCACUUUUUGGAAUUGAAUUUGAGAUAGAAAUGAAGAAAAACAAUAUUUUACAAAGUGGCAAAACUGACAUUUGUCCACUCUUUUGAUCAUAACUUGAGUUCUACAAAUCAGAUUAAAACGAUUCAAAUUACUUUGGAUACUAGACUUGAGAAGCUUUCCAAUGAUAGGUCACAAACCCCAAGAAUCCUCCUAUAACAGAAGACAUGGUCGUUUUAAUCCGAGCAAUGCAAUUAGCGACAAGGUGUAAAACCGCAGGUUGCGCCUCUGCCCCACACCCACUCGAGGCCACUUGAUGCUACUGCCAGGCCACAGCUAGGCCUGUGCCCAUAGGUUUGGCCGAGUAUCCUUGAAGCACCGAUUAGCCUUGUCCUUCCACGAUCGCAGCAAGUCUUGUGAUACAUCAUCGCUUAUAUAUCAUCCAAUAACAUUCUAGUUAUGUUUUUUUUUUUAUUUAUUUAUUUUACUUUUAAUUAGCUUAGUUUUAGGAUAAUAUAGGGAUUUUAUUUUUACCUUAUUCCUUUGAGGUCGUUUUUACGUUCAUUUUCUCAGCCCUAGUUUUCUCAAGAGCAACUCUAUGGAUUCUCCGUGGAUUCUUCUUGAGUUUGUUACUUUAAUUCAUUAAGUUAG